rnacentral:misc_RNA from 1 species
UCCGGUUUGUCACCGGCAGUCUCGCAUGAGUCCCCAACUAAAUGCUGGCAACAUGCGACGGGGGUUGCGCUCGUUGCGGGACUUAACCCAACAUCUCACGACACGAGCUGACGACAGCCAUGCACCACCCGUGACCGUGCCCCGAAGGGAGAGUGUGUUUCCACACCUGUCACGGACAUGUCAAGCCCAGGUAAGGUGGGGAUGACGUAAGCCUAUCGAGA